GAAUCUCCAGUCUAAAUUUAGCAUUUGCUAUUUUAAGAAUGGAAAAGUACACAUUUGGUUUUCCAUUUUCAAUUUCCGCUUUACUGCUUCUUAUCUCAAAACACAGCGACACAGUCUACUUCUUGUGGGUCAUUGACUGGUUUAUAUUUUUAUCUCCCCUUCUGUAUUAAAUAUCGAUAUGAAAAGUAACACAGUCUAAUACACUGGCCCUCGCCGUUUGUUUACAUCAGCUGAUAAAUAUGAGACUAAUUGUCAUGAACAUACCUGGCAGUUUGUUGAAUAUGCAUUGGAAAAUUGGGUCUAAAUAUUUAAUAUGAAACUAUAAGUAGCGGCAUCCCAAGAUUAUCGCUAAUCAAAUCUGAAGUUUGGGUAUGAAAUAGCGACAAAUUAUGUUCUGCAGUUGACAACUUGACCUGUUGACGAUACAGAUAGUCUUCAAGCCAAAUCUUUGUCAUUAACCAAGCAAGCUGAAGCAGCACAUUGGAAUGUGUUUCUGCUGUUACUGUCAUGCCACUGACUUAACCAGGCAAAUGUCAUAGCUACUGAGCGGGAAGCUUUUAUAAUUAUUGACUGUAAAUUUUAUAAGUUUGAUGUGUUAAUGUGAUAAAAAAUGUAGGAACCAAAAUAAAAAAGUGGACAAUA